CACUUGUCUUGUAAUUGCUAUUAACUUCUAAUGUUGAAGCUGCUUUGGAGGAUUAAGAGGAUCAAAACUCUCAUACAAUCAUUGUCAAACACUGUUAUUAUGACAAUAUCAAUGAACAGAAAGGCAUGAUGGCUCUGCCUCUCCACAGAUCAAACAGUUUUGUCAGGGCAUAUCCAGGAAAUCUGGGUAAGCUUCCCAAAUGUGUAAAAAUGCUGUAUCAGAUACAUUCAAUAGCAGCCUAUUGUUAAAGUAGCAAUGCUGGAAGAGAAGGACAGAUUGGAAUACGGUGCAGUAAAGUGAACACAAAUCAUCUCCACAUGUACCUGAAUCGAGGGGGAAGGCUGAAGGGACUUUUAUAUGUUUCAGCCGACCCCCCCUUCAACGCAUACCCCGCUGUCAUUGGUGCUGCAAUCGGUGGCAUGAUAGCGGCCACCCUGGGCACCAUGCUGCUCUUCAUAUACAUCGUGAGGAACCGUAACACGAACCCACGGCUUCAUGACAUGUUGUUUGGAAUGCAGCACAGUCAGUCGAGAGAGAACAUCAACUCUCCCGAGGAUGAGGUUGUCAGCAGGUCUCAAAGCGAGGGGGAACUCGAGGACCCAACCAUCUCUCCAGGAGCCGGGCCAGCUGUGGUGUCGGGGAGUUCCAUGUCUGCGGAGCCACCUGCUGCCGAAGGAGAUGACAACGAGCCGGUCAACGUGACCAUAACUGUCACAGCCACAACCUGAGUGCUCAGACAUGGCUGUACACACACACUUCGCUAACUGACGUAACACACAGGCAGAUCAAAAGAAAGAACAGCAUUCAUCUGCUUUUCCUAUUUUGUAUACUUUGUGAAGUGCUGUCACCUUGGACUCCUGAUUCUCUGUUGUAAAGAGGUCCUACAUUGGGUGGGGUCUUUAAAAAUUUUAACCUUCGUAGUCUUUGAAACAUUAAACACCAUGCCAUUAGAAAUUGCCAUUUCAUUCAGCUGUGCAAGUAUUUUGUU
rnacentral:lncRNA from 1 species